GAGUUAGACAGCAUUACCCUAAGUACAUGUAUAAGACACAAAUGGUGUGAAAAUACUUUGUGUACAACCAGUGACUUGAAAAAGUGUGCUCUAUAUGUAUCAUAUGAAAUGAAUUGCAUUCUGCCAUCAUGUAUAACAAAUUAAAAUUAAAAAAAAGAAAAGUACACAAAUGGAGAGGAUAGACAAUUCACAGAAGAAGGAACAUAAAAGCCCUGUCAUGAAAAAGAAGAGUUGACUACACUAGCUAAAAAGGAGCAAACUAAUACCGUGAGAUACUGUUUAUUGUGUCAAAUAGGUAAAGAUUUAUAAGAAUUAUAAUAUCCAUACUGAUGGGCAUUCUUAAACACUCCUACCAUGAAUGAAAUUGGUACAAUCUUUUUGGAUUUAUCUUCUUGACUAUUUAUCUAAAGGCUUUAAAAUGUGGAUCCCAAGCCAGGCAUGGUGGCACAUGCCUAUAGUCCCACUUACUCCAGAGGCUGAGGCAGGAGAAUGACAAGUUUGAGGCCAGCCUGGGCAACUAAAUAAAAUCCUGUCUUAAAAUAAAAUUUAAAAAGCCUGAGAUAUAGCUCAGUCAUAGAGCAUUUGAUUAGCAUGUAUGAGACCAUGGAUGGAAUUCCCAUUACCACAAGAAAAAAACGUAGAUCCCUUUAAACCAGCAAUUUCAUUCUUAGUUUAUCUUCAGAAAAAAUACAGAAUCCAUGAAGAAAUGUUGAGGUGUAUAUUUAUUAUCAUGAAAAGAAAGAAGUUCAUGUGAUAUUAUUUUGUCCUCUUAUUUUCUUUAAAUGGAACCAUCUCCCCCGGCCCAAACUACCCUCCACAUGGUCUCCAUUGCUUUUCUUUCUAAAACUGUUUUGACCACGGUUGCCUGAUAAGAUACAGACUACCAGUGAUGUUAGGUAAACAAUAAAUAACUUUGUAAAAAUAUUCAAUGGGACAUUCUUAUACUAAAAACUUAUUUAUGG
rnacentral:lncRNA from 1 species